CACGCCGUAAACGAUGGGUACUAGGUGUAGGAGGUCUCGACCCCUUCUGUGCCGGAGUUAACACAAUAAGUACCCCGCCUGGGGACUACGGCCGCAAGGCUAAAACUCAAAGGAAUUGACGGGGGCCCGCACAAGCGGUGGAGCAUGUGGUUUAAUUCGACGCAACGCGAAGAACCUUACCAGGUCUUGACAUCCUCUGACAACCCAAGAGACUGGGCUUUCCGCCUUCGGGUGGACAGAGAGACAGGUGG
rnacentral:rRNA from 1 species